rnacentral:lncRNA from 1 species
UAUAUUGUACCUUAGUAUGAAUCCAUUUCCAUAAAAUAUAAGAGCUUCAUUAAUCCAUUUGCAUGAAAUCUUAAAUCCUUAUCUUUUACUUCUUUCUAUUUAUUUGUCUUCAUCAAAAACAUCAUUUUUACAAAAGCUUAUCUUCACAAUUUUGAACUAUUAAAGCCAUUUAUUCACUAGAAUCAGAAUCCUUUUCUACCUCGAUUUUGAGUUCUAGAGUUUUCUUUU